AAAGUACUCCCUCUGUCCCAAAAUUCUUGUCUUAGAUUUGUCUAGAUAUGGAUGUAUCAAGUCACAUUUUAGUAUUAGAUACAUCCGUAUCUAGACAAAUCUAAGACAAGAAAUUUGGGACAGAGGGAGUAGUUG
rfam:Triticum aestivum genome assembly, contig: Triticum_aestivum_CS42_TGACv1_scaffold_642024_T_4AL-0.241746_5AL-0.155285